GUUUAUCUGCGAGUUUUGUGCUUUACACAAAACAUCGUUUAUUGUAUGUAGUUUUGCUUUGCAAAACUACUUGAAAAAACUUUUUCGCAAAUUAAUAUUUGCUGCAAAAGUUUUUAUAGGG
rfam:Treponema denticola ATCC 35405, complete genome.